GGAGAGGUGUCCGAGUUGGCCGAAGGAGCACGAUUGGGGAAAUCGUGUAGGCGUCCAGCGUCUCGAGGGUUCGAAUCCCUCUCUCUCCGCCA
rnacentral:tRNA from 1 species